UUGCCCAUCUGAUCACAGCCUCCUUCUGUGUCUGGGUCCCACUCAGUCUCUCAGCCCUUAAGUUGAGAAUGGUUUGAGGUGAAACUGGAAGUAUUCACCAACAUCAGAGCUUCUGUUUCCACUGUGACACAUCGUCGUCCCCUCCAUCGUUCACCACACAGGUCAGCUGACAUCCUGUGCUGCUACAAGGAGGGUAUGGAGUAUAAACUGGUCAAAAUUCUUCCUAGAAUGGUUGAUUUGACUGAAAAGAAGUGGGUAACAGCAUUCCCUCUGACUCUUCAAAAGUUAAGAAUGACCUAUCGCUCUUGCGAACCUCGAGAUGAUUCCUCACAUGAAGCCAACUCCCACUGUCACACAUGCAAGAGUUAUGAUGGUGUCUGUCCACCUCCUGAUUGUUAAUCAUGUUUUAUGUGUUUAUACUAUGCUUAGCUGCAUCAGUUUCUUAUUAUGUCUUUGCUGGUUUCCCCUUCCCCUUGAGAAUUAUCAUUCUGUAACUAGGGCCUCCUAAUGAAAUAAAAAGAGAGCGGCCUUGAGUCAUCAGAACGUGUGGAGACUGUUGGCCUGAUGCCCACUCUCUGCCCGUUCUCCUCAUGAGUAAAACUGAA